AGCAGCCGCGGUAAUUCCAGCUCCAAUAGCGUAUAUUAAAGUUGUUGCAGUUAAAGAGCUCGUAGUUGAAUUUCGGGAUCAAUACGUCGGUCGUGCCUCUGGUAUGUACUGGUGUUAUUGAUUUCUCCCUUCUGAUGAACCAUGAUGUCAUUCAUUUGGUGUUGUGUGGAGUCAGGACUGUUACUUUGAAAAAAUUAGAGUGUUUAAAGCAGGCUCACGCUUGAAUACAUUAGCAUGGAAUAAUGAAAUAGGACGUUCGAUCCUAUUUUGUUGGUUUCUAGGAUCAACGUAAUGAUUAAUAGGGAUAGUUGGGGGCAUUAGUAUUCAAUUGUCAGAGGUGAAAUUCUUGGAUUUAUUGAAGACUAACUACUGCGAAAGCAUUUGCCAAGGAUGUUUUCGUUAAUCAAGAACGAAAGUUAGGGGAUCGAAGACGAUCAGAUACCGUCGUAGUCUUAACCAUAAACUAUG
rnacentral:rRNA from 1 species